rnacentral:tRNA from 1 species
GCCUUCGUGGUGUUAAUGCUCAGCACGCUCGACGCGUAACCGAGAGGUCCGUGGUUCGAUUCCCGGCGAAGGCG